CAGUCGCCGCGGUAAUACGUAGGUCCCGAGCGUUGUCCGGAUUUAUUGGGCGUAAAGCGAGCGCAGGCGGUUAGACAAGUCUGAAGUUAAAGGCUGUGGCUUAACCAUAGUACGCUUUGGAAACUGUUUAACUUGAGUGCAAGAGGGGAGAGUGGAAUUCCAUGUGUAGCGGUGAAAUGCGUAGAUAUAUGGAGGAACACCGGUGGCGAAAGCGGCUCUCUGGCUUGUAACUGACGCUGAGGCUCGAAAGCGUGGGGCGCAAACAGGAUUAGAUACCCGGGUAGUCCCUGUCUCUUAUACA
rnacentral:rRNA from 1 species